AUGCAGUCGACGGUAGCACAGAGAGCUUGCUCUCGGGUGACGAGUGGCGGACGGGUGAGUAAUGUCUGGGAAACUGCCUGAUGGAGGGGGAUAACUACUGGAAACGGUAGCUAAUACCGCAUAACGUCGCAAGACCAAAGAGGGGGACCUUCGGGCCUCUUGCCAUCAGAUGUGCCCAGAUGGGAUUAGCUAGUAGGUGGGGUAACGGCUCACCUAGGCGACGAUCCCUAGCUGGUCUGAGAGGAUGACCAGCCACACUGGAACUGAGACACGGUCCAGACUCCUACGGGAGGCAGCAGUGGGGAAUAUUGCACAAUGGGCGCAAGCCUGAUGCAGCCAUGCCGCGUGUAUGAAGAAGGCCUUCGGGUUGUAAAGUACUUUCAGCGGGGAGGAAGGUGUUGUGGUUAAUAACCGCAGCAAUUGACGUUACCCGCAGAAGAAGCACCGGCUAACUCCGUGCCAGCAGCCGCGGUAAUACGGAGGGUGCAAGCGUUAAUCGGAAUUACUGGGCGUAAAGCGCACGCAGGCGGUCUGUCAAGUCGGAUGUGAAAUCCCCGGGCUCAACCUGGGAACUGCAUUCGAAACUGGCAGGCUAGAGUCUUGUAGAGGGGGGUAGAAUUCCAGGUGUAGCGGUGAAAUGCGUAGAGAUCUGGAGGAAUACCGGUGGCGAAGGCGGCCCCCUGGACAAAGACUGACGCUCAGUGCGAAAGCGUGGGGGAGCAAACAGGAUUAGAUACCCUGGUAGUCCACGCCGUAAACGAUGUCGACUUGGAGGUUGUGCCCUUUGAGGCGUGGCUUCCGGAGCUAACGCGUUAAGUCGACCGCCUGGGGAGUACGGCCGCAAGGAAGGUUAAAACUCAAAUGAAUUGACGGGGGCCCGCACAAGCGGUGGAGCAUGUGGUUUAAUUCGAUGCAACGCGAAGAACCUUACCUACUCUUGACAUCCAGAGAACUUUCCAGAGAUGGAUUGGUGCCUUCGGGAACUCUGAGACAGGUGCUGCAUGGCUGUCGUCAGCUCGUGUUGUGAAAUGUUGGGUUAAGUCCCGCAACGAGCGCAACCCUUAUCCUUUGUUGCCAGCGGUCCGGCCGGGAACUCAAAGGAGACUGCCAGUGAUAAACUGGAGGAAGGUGGGGAUGACGUCAAGUCAUCAUGGCCCUUACGAGUAGGGCUACACACGUGCUACAAUGGCGCAUACAAAGAGAAGCGAACUCGCGAGAGCAAGCGGACCUCAUAAAGUGCGUCGUAGUCCGGAUUGGAGUCUGCAACUCGACUCCAUGAAGUCGGAAUCGCUAGUAAUCGUAGAUCAGAAUGCUACGGUGAAUACGUUCCCGGGCCUUGUACACACCGCCCGUCACACCAUGGGAGUGGGUUGCAAAAGAAGUAGGUAGCUUAACCUCGGG
rnacentral:rRNA from 1 species